rnacentral:rRNA from 1 species
CCUACGGGGGGCUGCAGUGGGGAAUAUUGGUCAAUGGGCGCAAGCCUGACCCAGCAACGCCGCGUGAAGGAAGACUGCUUUCGGGUUUUAAACUUCUUUUAAGAGGGAAGCGCAGACGACGUUACCUCUUGAAUCAGCCACGGCUAACUACGUGCCAGCAGCCGCGGUAAUACGUAGGUGGCAAGCGUUGACCGGAUUUACUGGGUGUAAAGGGCGUGUAGCCGGGCUGACAAGUCAGAUGUGACAUUCCGGGGGUCAACCCCGGACCUGCCUUUGAAACUGUUGGUCUUGAGUAUCGGAGAGGCAGGCGGAAUUCGUGGUGUAGCGGUGAAAUGCGUAGAUAUUAGGAGGAACACCAGUGGCGAAGGCGGCAUGCUGGACGACAACUGACGGUGAGGCGCGAAAGCGUGGGGAGCAAACAGGAUUAGAUACCCCAGUAGUC